GAUGAACGUUGGCGGUGUGGAUUAGGCAUGCAAGUCGCGCGAUUUCCUUCGGGGAAGAGCGGCGGAAGGGAGAGUAACGCGUAGAUACCUACCCUCGGGACCGGAAUAGCGACGGGAAACUGUCGGUAAUGCCGGAUAACGUCCCUGGACCAAAGGUGUGAAUCCGCCUGAGGAGGGGUCUGCGUCCUAUUAGCUAGUUGGCGGGGUAACGGCCCACCAAGGCGAAGAUGGGUACCGGGCGUGAGAGCGUGACCCGGCUCACUGGGACUGAGACACUGCCCAGACACCUACGGGUGGCUGCAGUCGAGAAUCUUCGGCAAUGAGCGCAAGCUUGACCGAGCGACGCCGCGUGCGGGAUGAAGGCUUUCGGGUUGUAAACCGCUGUCAGUGGGGAGGAAAUUCUUGGGGGUACUCCCCCUUGAUUGACCGAUCCGCAGAGGAAGGACGGGCUAAGUUCGUGCCAGCAGCCGCGGUAAAAC
rnacentral:rRNA from 1 species